GAUUAAGUUAUUAAGGGCGCACGGUGGAUGCCUUGGCACUAGAAGCCGAUGAAGGACGUUACUAACGACGAUAUGCUUUGGGGAGCUGUAAGUAAGCUUUGAUCCAGAGAUUUCCGAAUGGGGAAACCCAGCAUGAGUUAUGUCAUGUUAUCGAUAUGUGAAUACAUAGCAUAUCAGAAGGCACACCCGGAGAACUGAAACAUCUUAGUACCCGGAGGAAGAGAAAGAAAAUUCGAUUCCCUUAGUAGCGGCGAGCGAAACGGGAAGAGCCCAAACCAACAAGCUUGCUUGUUGGGGUUGUAGGACACUCUAUACGGAGUUACAAAGGACGACAUUAGACGAAUCAUCUGGAAAGAUGAAUCAAAGAAGGUAAUAAUCCUGUAGUCGAAAAUGUUGUCUCUCUUGAGUGGAUCCUGAGUACGACGGAGCACGUGAAAUUCCGUCGGAAUCUGGGAGGACCAUCUCCUAAGGCUAAAUACUCUCUAGUGACCGAUAGUGAACCAGUACCGUGAGGGAAAGGUGAAAAGCACCCCGGAAGGGGAGUGAAAUAGAACCUGAAACCGUGUGCUUACAAGUAGUCAGAGCCCGUUAAUGGGUGAUGGCGUGCCUUUUGUAGAAUGAACCGGCGAGUUACGAUUUGAUGCAAGGUUAAGCAGUAAAUGUGGAGCCGUAGCGAAAGCGAGUCUGAAUAGGGCGUUUAGUAUUUGGUCGUAGACCCGAAACCAGGUGAUCUACCCUUGGUCAGGUUGAAGUUCAGGUAACACUGAAUGGAGGACCGAACCGACUUACGUUGAAAAGUGAGCGGAUGAACUGAGGGUAGCGGAGAAAUUCCAAUCGAACCUGGAGAUAGCUGGUUCUCUCCGAAAUAGCUUUAGGGCUAGCCUCAAGUGAUGAUUAUUGGAGGUAGAGCACUGUUUGGACGAGGGGCCCCUCUCGGGUUACCGAAUUCAGACAAACUUCGAAUGCCAAUUAAUUUAACUUGGGAGUCAGAACAUGGGUGAUAAGGUCCGUGUUCGAAAGGGAAACAGCCCAGACCACCAGCUAAGGUCCCAAAAUAUAUGUUAAGUGGAAAAGGAUGUGGCGUUGCCCAGACAACUAGGAUGUUGGCUUAGAAGCAGCCAUCAUUUAAAGAGUGCGUAAUAGCUCACUAGUCGAGUGACACUGCGCCGAAAAUGUACCGGGGCUAAACAUAUUACCGAAGCUGUGGAUUGUCCUUUGGACAAUGGUAGGAGAGCGUUCUAAGGGCGUUGAAGCAUGAUCGUAAGGACAUGUGGAGCGCUUAGAAGUGAGAAUGCCGGUGUGAGUAGCGAAAGACGGGUGAGAAUCCCGUCCACCGAUUGACUAAGGUUUCCAGAGGAAGGCUCGUCCGCUCUGGGUUAGUCGGGUCCUAAGCUGAGGCCGACAGGCGUAGGCGAUGGAUAACAGGUUGAUAUUCCUGUACCACCUAUAAUCGUUUUAAUCGAUGGGGGACGCAGUAGGAUAGGCGAAGCGUGCGAUUGGAUUGCACGUCUAAGCAGUAAGGCUGAGUAUUAGGCAAAUCCGGUACUCGUUAAGGCUGAGCUGUGAUGGGGAGAAGACAUUGUGUCUUCGAGUCGUUGAUUUCACACUGCCGAGAAAAGCCUCUAGAUAGAAAAUAGGUGCCCGUACCGCAAACCGACACAGGUAGUCAAGAUGAGAAUUCUAAGGUGAGCGAGCGAACUCUCGUUAAGGAACUCGGCAAAAUGACCCCGUAACUUCGGGAGAAGGGGUGCUCUUUAGGGUUAACGCCCAGAAGAGCCGCAGUGAAUAGGCCCAAGCGACUGUUUAUCAAAAACACAGGUCUCUGCUAAACCGUAAGGUGAUGUAUAGGGGCUGACGCCUGCCCGGUGCUGGAAGGUUAAGAGGAGUGGUUAGCUUCUGCGAAGCUACGAAUCGAAGCCCCAGUAAACGGCGGCCGUAACUAUAACGGUCCUAAGGUAGCGAAAUUCCUUGUCGGGUAAGUUCCGACCCGCACGAAAGGCGUAACGAUUUGGGCACUGUCUCAACGAGAGACUCGGUGAAAUCAUAGUACCUGUGAAGAUGCAGGUUACCCGCGACAGGACGGAAAGACCCCGUGGAGCUUUACUGUAGCCUGAUAUUGAAAUUCGGCACAGCUUGUACAGGAUAGGUAGGAGCCUUUGAAACGUGAGCGCUAGCUUACGUGGAGGCGCUGGUGGGAUACUACCCUAGCUGUGUUGGCUUUCUAACCCGCACCACUUAUCGUGGUGGGAGACAGUGUCAGGCGGGCAGUUUGACUGGGGCGGUCGCCUCCUAAAAGGUAACGGAGGCGCUCAAAGGUUCCCUCAGAAUGGUUGGAAAUCAUUCAUAGAGUGUAAAGGCAUAAGGGAGCUUGACUGCGAGACCUACAAGUCGAGCAGGGUCGAAAGACGGACUUAGUGAUCCGGUGGUUCCGCAUGGAAGGGCCAUCGCUCAACGGAUAAAAGCUACCCCGGGGAUAACAGGCUUAUCUCCCCAAGAGUUCACAUCGACGGGGAGGUUUGGCACCUCGAUGUCGGCUCAUCGCAUCCUGGGGCUGUAGUCGGUCCCAAGGGUUGGGCUGUUCGCCCAUUAAAGCGGUACGCGAGCUGGGUUCAGAACGUCGUGAGACAGUUCGGUCCCUAUCCGUCGUGGGCGUAGGAAAUUUGAGAGGAGCUGUCCUUAGUACGAGAGGACCGGGAUGGACAUACCUCUGGUGUACCAGUUGUCGUGCCAACGGCAUAGCUGGGUAGCUAUGUGUGGACGGGAUAAGUGCUGAAAGCAUCUAAGCAUGAAGCCCCCCUCAAGAUGAGAUUUCCCAACUUCGGUUAUAAGAUCCCUCAAAGAUGAUGAGGUUAAUAGGUUCGAGGUGGAAGCAUGGUGACAUGUGGAGCUGACGAAUACUAAUCGAUCGAAGACUUAAUCAA
rnacentral:rRNA from 1 species